AUCGAAAUACAUUGAUUGGAUGUAUUACACAUUGCUCUGUAACUCUCAAUAGAAGUCCUUCUCAACUUCACCCAAAUCGUGAUAUAUAUAUAUAUAUGUAUGUGUGUGUCAAAAUCAAAGAAACUUUCAUUAGAAACAACAAAGUAUCUUACAUAAAUACACUAACUGUCUCAGGCAUAGAAAAAAAAAGAGAAAGAGUAGAUGAAGAAAACAAAAGAUAUACGGAGCUAUUUUUUCUUCUCCAAAAGCUUAACAAUAAUAAUGAUGGAGAAAUGAAUAACCUUCGAAUCAAAACGCUUUUAAAACUUGAACAUAUAAGAAGGUUUCACAUUAAAAUCAUUUUGCAGACUACAUCGUGGAAGAAGAUGUCAAAUCAUGCCACCCAUCUCUCAAAUUGGUUUUCUUCUUUUGAAUUGAAACCCCCAAAACAUUUGCAUCCAUUUUGUUUCUAUACGAUUCUCGCAAACUCAUGUGGUCAUUUUGUCGAGCAGGGUGCAUAGAAAAUGUAAAAAGAUAAGACCAAGUAAAUCGCAACAAAUAGCCAAAGUUUUAAUGAUAUUCAUAUCAGCGAUUAGGUGGACCAAACUCAACGUGUCGUGGGGAGUUAACAUCGUCCAUCACAUUAGGCAUCACAAAAGUCUCAACUUUCAUUGUUUAUGUCAUCUUUUUGUUUCUCUGUUAUACAAAUUUUGAAGAAAGAAUGGACGAUCUAAAGUUAUAAGAAAGGAGAGAAGAAGAAGAACAUGAACCUGUUUUUAUUUUUGUAAAAGAGGCUUAUACGGUUGCCAUUUAGAUCGUAAUUUAACUGGCAAAGGGAUUGAAAGAUGGGAGAGAAAGUGAAGAAUCUUAAGAUCGUGGAAGGAGCAGUUGCUAAAAAAGUGGUCAGACUUUUAUUUAUUUUUUGUCAAAAAAAAUUGUGUUGAAAAAUAAUAGUAGAAAGCAGUGAAUUGUUUUACGAAUGUGAAAGACCAAAAUUUUAAACUUAAUCAUACGUGGCAAAAGGAGAGACUUGCAGUUUUGGGAAAAGUGACUGUUGAUUUAGUAUAACUAGAUUAGAUAUCAUGCAAUAAGGCAAUAAGACAUAUCUGCUGAUAGCAUGGUAUGUUGGGAUUCAAAGGUG
rnacentral:sRNA from 1 species